UACAGAGGGUGCGAGCGUUGUUCGGAAUUAUUGGGCGUAAAGGGCGCGUAGGCGGCGCGGUAAGUCACCUGUGAAAUCUCCUGGCUCAACUGGGAGCUUGCAGGCGAAACUGCCGUGCUGGAGUGUGGGAGAGGUGCGUGGAAUUCCUGGUGUAGCGGUGAAAUGCGUAGAUAUCAGGAGGAACACCGGUGGCGAAGGCGGCGCUCUGGACCGAUACUGACGCUGAGGCGCGAAAGCGUGGGGAGCAAACAGG
rnacentral:rRNA from 1 species